rnacentral:rRNA from 1 species
UGGGGAAUCUUGGACAAUGGGGGCAACCCUGAUCCAGCCAUGCCGCGUGAGUGAUGAAGGCCUUAGGGUCGUAAAGCUCUUUCGCCUGUGAAGAUAAUGACGGUAGCAGGUAAAGAAACCCCGGCUAACUCCGUGCCAGCAGCCGCGGUAAUACGGAGGGGGUUAGCGUUGUUCGGAAUUACUGGGCGUAAAGCGCACGUAGGCGGACCAGAAAGUUGGGGGGUGAAAUCCCGGGGGCUCAACCCCGGAACUGCCUCCAAAACUAUUGGUCUAGAGUUCGAGAGAGGUGAGUGGAAUUCCAAGUGUAGAGGUGAAAUUCGUAGAUAUUUGGAGGAACACCAGUGGCGAAGGCGGCUCACUGGCUCGAUACUGACGCUGAGGUGCGAAAGUGUGGGGAGCAAAACAGGAUUAGAUACCCUGGUAGUCCACACCGUAAAACGAUGAAUGCCAGUCGUCGGGUAGCAUGCUAUUCGGUGACACACCUAACGGAUUAAGCAUUCCGCCUGGGGAGUACGGUCGCAAGAUU